rnacentral:rRNA from 1 species
GAUGAACGCUGGCGGCGUGCCUAAUACAUGCAAGUCGAGCGAACGGACGAGAAGCUUGCUUCUCUGAUGUUAGCGGCGGACGGGUGAGUAACACGUGGAUAACCUACCUAUAAGACUGGGAUAACUUCGGGAAACCGGAGCUAAUACCGGAUAAUAUUUUGAACCGCAUGGUUCAAAAGUGAAAGACGGUCUUGCUGUCACUUAUAGAUGGAUCCGCGCUGCAUUAGCUAGUUGGUAAGGUAACGGCUUACCAAGGCAACGAUGCAUAGCCGACCUGAGAGGGUGAUCGGCCACACUGGAACUGAGACACGGUCCAGACUCCUACGGGAGGCAGCAGUAGGGAAUCUUCCGCAAUGGGCGAAAGCCUGACGGAGCAACGCCGCGUGAGUGAUGAAGGUCCUCGGAUCGUAAAACUCUGUUAUUAGGGAAGAACAUAUGUGUAAGUAACUGUGCACAUCUUGACGGUACCUAAUCAGAAAGCCACGGCUAACUACGUG